UACGUAGGGUGCGAGCGUUGUCCGGAAUUAUUGGGCGUAAAGGGCUCGUAGGCGGUUUGUCACGUCGGGAGUGAAAACUCGGGGCUUAACCCCGAGCCUGCUUCCGAUACGGGCUGACUAGAGGUAUGCAGGGGAGAACGGAAUCCCUGGUGUAGCGGUGAAAUGCGCAGAUAUCAGGAGGAACACCGGUGGCGAAGGCGGAUCUCUGGGCCUUACCUGACGCUCAGGCACGAAAGCUAGGGGAGCGAACAGG
rnacentral:rRNA from 1 species